GGCUUCUUGAUCCUAUGUGUUGUAUUGAGUGUUGGUCACUGGUCUUUGGGAAGCUUGGACAGAAGUGGGGCAGCCAUGGAGCUGCUGACUGGGACUGGCCUGUGGCCCGUGGUCAUAGUCACAGUCAUCUUCAUAUUACUGGUGGACAUGUUGCACCGGUGCCAGCGCUGGACUUCUUGCUGCCCACCAGACCCUGUGCCAUGGCCUGUGCUGGGUAACCUGCUGCAGGUGGACCUGGAUAACAUGCCAUAUAACUUGUACAAGCUUCACAACCGCUAUGGUGACGUGUUCAGCCUGCAGAUGGGCUGGAACCACAUGGCCGUGAUCAACGGACUGAAGGUGUGGUCCUUGCUCCUUAUGGGCCUGAGUGGAAAGAGCAGAGGUGAUUCUCUGCGUCGACCCUGUGCAACUUCAGCCUGGGCAAGAAAUCACUGGAGCAGUGGGUGAUGGAAGAGGUUGGACACCUCUUUGAUGUCUUCACUGCCCAUGCUGAGGAGGCUGUAGACAAGAGAUUUGGAAAGAACACAUCUAGAAGUGUCCACCACAGUAAUAGGAGCCUGGAGAUUGACAUACAGCAAAAGGAAGUGAGAAGCUGACCAAGGUCAGGGCUUCUAGAAGCUGAGACCCUGGCCCUCUGCCCACAUGGAACAUCUGUGAGAUUUUCCAGGGUUGGCUGACAAAGUCUUCCCUGGGCAAAAGACAUUUCUCAUAAUGGUGGAUAAGCUGGUGACUGAGCACAAGAGGACCUGGAACUCGGACCAGCCGCCUCGAGACCUGACUGAUGCCUUUAUGGCUGAGAUGGAGAAGGCAAAGGGAAACCCUGAGAGUAGCUUCAAUGAUGCAAAUCUAUGUCUGGUUGUCCUUGACCUGCUGGGUGCUGCAACUGUGACCACCUCAACCACACUGUCCUGGGCCCUGCUGCUUAUGAUCCUGCAUCCGGAUGUGCAGUGUGAGCCUGGCUGGGGCUGUCAAGAAAGGAGGAGGAGGGUAGAGGCAAACUCCUUAAACUUACUUGGGACACUUGUAGAUCCCAGCAUUGAGUUAACCCAGACUGCAGUAAGUAUGGUUGCCUUAUUUCUCCCAUGGACCCAGCCCUUAACAGAGAGGUAGUGGAUGGACAAGGGGCACCCACUGAAGCAUCUUAACUGAUGGGAAAAUGUCCUUCCAGGCCAAGUACAACAGGAAAUCGAUGAGGUCAUUUGGUAUGUGUGGCUUCCAGAGAUGGCAGACCAGGUCUGCAUGCCCUUCACCAAUGCUGUCAUUCAUGAGGGCAUGACUCUCAUCUCCAACCUGUUCCGUGCUGAAGGAUGAGACUGUCUGGGAGAAGCCCCUUCGCUUCCAUCCUGAACACUUCCUGGAUGCCCAGGGCCACUUUGUGAAGCCUGAGGCCUUCAUGCCAUUCUCAGCAGGUGCCUCUAGGGUGCCUUCCUGCCUAUCUUUCCCUAGGGUGCCUUGGAGGGUGGAGCACCAAUCAGGUCCCAGACUGAGCCCUCUUCUACACAUAGGCCACAGAUCAUGCCUGGGGGAGCCCCUGGCCCUCAUGGAGCUCUUCCUCUUCUUCACCUGCCUCCUGCAGCGCUUUAGCUUCUCAAUGCCAGCUGGACAAUCCCUUCCCAGUGAUUAUGGCAUCUAUACAAUGCCAGUUACUCCAGCACCUACCAGCUCUGUGCAGUGGUUUGCUAGCAGGGGCAGUGGCUCCAGCCAUCAUCACAGAUUGUUCUGACUGAUGUCCAAUAAACAAGUUUUGUGUCUGAAUCUCA
rnacentral:lncRNA from 1 species